CGAUUCAGGUUAUACACGUAUGUACUUGAAGAUAACCAAUAAAACAUUGUCAACAUAUUAAAAGUUUAAUUACAAUUAAAAUUUAAGCAUAAAUGAUAGCACCAAAAAACAUAAUAUUUUUGUCUCCAAAUGUGACAUGUUAUAUAUAUCUCUAUGCAAGUUUUUCCCCAAUCUUACUCACAGUUACACUGCGAAUUUUACUUGUGUGUAUUACUGAAAUUUACAAAACUUAUACUAAGUUACCUAAAUUGUGUCACAAUUGCUAAAAUAUUUAGGGAAAUUAUACUGACAUUUCUUGAUAUUUAACAUGAUUACUCUCCACAUCAAAACUUACACUUGCCUCCUUGAGAUAAUGAGAUUAUUUCAUUAGAGCAGAUUACAAUUAUCUCCUAGAGUAUAAUUUAAUUGCACUGGACACCAUUUUAUUUUAAAAGCUGUCAUCCUAAGGAAGGUGACUAGGUGAGUAUAACCUUUGAUACAAAAGUAGUGUAAUGAGUGUAAUUAAGUCAGAUCAUAAGGGAGACUGGUGUAUUUUUUUCAUUUCAUUAUCAUUACACUUAGCUCGCUUCCGGGUAGGUUAUUGAGAUUACAGUUAUCUCCCCUAAAGGAGGGAAGUGAGUAUAACUUUCUAAACAAGAUGAUGCAGUGUAUUCAUGUUGAACAUAAGGGGGAAGGUGAGUGUAAUUUCCUUGAAAUAUUAUGAACUACAGUAUUCAUGUCGUUUUGGCCUUGGAUGGUGGAUGUCAUAUACAACAAUUUCUUAUUAUCUUCUUAUCUCAUAUGUAGCCAAAUUUGAAAUUUCGCAACUCAAGGAAGACAGUGAAAAGAUGAUGAUGAUGAAGAAGAAGAACAAGAAAGGUGAGAUUUGCUCAAUGAUAUUGGAAAAACAGUUGAAGAUUGCUUAUUUGGAGUUUGAUAUAUCAUCGCUCACCCAGGUAAAGUACCAUUCUGUUGUUUAUACCUUGUGUUGUUCGUCUACACGCCAGGAUGUCUCUAAGGGAACUACAAAUGGAACUAAUGUGAAUGGAGGCUUGUCUUUGUUAUUAAAUGUGCCCAUAUCUUAAGUGCCAUUUAGAUGGUAAUCUAGAUGUAAAUAGUAUUUCUGUAGAUUUGGUUUCUGAUAGAACAUAAUAGUGCAAUGUCGUUUGAUCCAUGUACCCCAUGUCUUAGCCUCACAAUGGGAAAAAAUGGUUUUGUUUUUGUUGGACACUAAUCCUGGUUGCAUUUUGCAUUUACUUGAGUGCUACUAAACCAUGUUUGUAUUUGAUCCCAUUAAUCCUAUCCUGUGUCCAGGUUUUCAAUUAUUUGUUCAUGUGAGUUUCUUUUGAUUUGUUGCAACUAUGGACUAUGUUGAAAUCUUUGCCAGGAAUGGUUCAGAACUGAGAAGAUUAGCAGAGAAC
rnacentral:lncRNA from 1 species